AACCCGCAAGCACUCGAGGAGGGAGCAGGGGCUGGAGUGAAUUUAGAAGGAGGGGCUGGAGGAUCGGAAGCCGAGCACGGGGUGAAUCCCCUGGGAGAGCCCAACCUGGGUGUGACUCAUCCCUGUCCCCAAUAUCACCCUGUUGUGGGUGGGGCUCUCUGGAGUCCUGCAAAGAUGUCAGUGAUUGAGUCAAGGCUGACUUGGCCCUCGAGUCCACUUUCCGAUGCCCAGGAGCCUGAACAUCAAGUUGAGAUCUGCUCCCUGGAACAGCCCUUCCCUGUGGUGUUGUAAUGUGAGCAGGACUGUCUGUGCCCCAUCCUCUUGGGGGUGAAGAGUAGAUGUGUGACUUGCUGGGGAUGUUAAGUGACAAUAGUAACCAGAGCUGCAGGGAGGAAGCAGAUGGCACUAAUGAACCAAUGGUGCUCUCAUCGGAGUGCCCGGGAGAUGGUUCAGUGGGUAGGGUAGUUGCUGUGCAAACCUGAGGA